rnacentral:rRNA from 1 species
GACGAACGCUGGCGGCGUGCCUAAUACAUGCAAGUCGAACGCAGUGGGGACGGGUGAGUAACACGUGGGUGACCUCCCAUCAGAGGGGAUAACCCUUGGAAACAGGUGCUAAACCCAUACUGAUGGAUGAACCCGGGGUGCAUUAGCUAGUUGGAGAGGUAACGGCUCACCAAGGCCACGAUGCCUAGCAGACCUGAGAGGUUGACCGGCCACACUGGGACUGAGACACGGCCCAGACUCCUACGGGAGGCAGCAGUAGUGAAUCUUCGGCAAUGGACGCAAGCCUGAUCGAGCAACGCCGCGUGAGUGAAGAAGGUUUUCGGAUCGUAAAACUCUGUUGUUAGAGAAGCGUUAUCUAACCAGAAAGCCACGGCUAACUACGUGCCAGCAGCCGCGGUAAUAC